UACGAGGGGGGCAAGCGUUGUUCGGAAUUAUUGGGCGUAAAGGGUGCGUAGGCGGUUUGAUAAGUCAUCUGUGAAAUCUCUGGGCUCAACCCAGAGUCUGCAGGCGAAACUGUCGGGCUUGAGUAUGGGAGAGGUGAGUGGAAUUUCCGGUGGAGCGGUGAAAUGCGUUGAUAUCGGAAGGAACGCCGGUGGCGAAAGCGACACACUGGACCUCUUCUGACGCUGAGGCGCGAAAGCCAGGGGAGCAAACGGG
rnacentral:rRNA from 1 species